rnacentral:rRNA from 1 species
CGCUGGCGGCGUGCCUAAUACAUGCAAGUCGAGCGAACGGAUAAGGAGCUUGCUCCUUUGAAGUUAGCGGCGGACGGGUGAGUAACACGUGGGUAACCUACCUAUAAGACUGGAAUAACUUCGGGAAACCGGAGCUAAUGCCGGAUAACAUAUAGAACCGCAUGGUUCUAUAGUGAAAGAUGGUUUUGCUAUCACUUAUAGAUGGACCCGCGCCGUAUUAGCUAGUUGGUAAGGUAAUGGCUUACCAAGGCGACGAUACGUAGCCGACCUGAGAGGGUGAUCGGCCACACUGGAACUGAGACACGGUCCAGACUCCUACGGGAGGCAGCAGUAGGGAAUCCUUCCGCUGGGCGAAAGCCUGACGGAGCAACGCCGCGUGAGUGAUGAAGGUUUUCGGAUCGUAAAACUCUGUUAUUAGGGAAGAACAAAUGCGUAAGUAACUGCGCAUCUUGACUGUACUUAAU